AAGGUAGCGAAAUCAUUUGUCUUUUAAUUGGAGACUUGUAUGAAUGGGGUUUUAGUUUUUCUUUUUUAUUUAAUUUAUAUUUAAUUUGUUUUUCAUUUGAAAACUUUUUGAUGUCUUUUAAAAGACUAAAAGACCCUUGGAUUUUUAUUUAUUUAAAAAUUUUACUUUUCUUAAAUUUAGAAUUAUUUUUUAAUUAUUUUUGAUUGGGGCAAUCUUUUAUUUAAAUUUAUAUAAAAUUGUUUUUUGAUCUUUAUUUUUGCUUUUGUUAAAAUACCCAAGGGUUAACAGCGUAAUUUAUUUGGUUAGUUCUUAUUAAUAAAUUUUAUUGCGACCUCGAUGUUGGUUUGUUUUUCCUUUUUGAGGCAGAAUGUAAAUUAGGGAGUCUGUUCGACUUUUAAAAAAACACAUGAACUGAGUUCAAGUCGGCGUGAGCCAGA
rnacentral:rRNA from 2 species